CGAACGAAGCACUUUUACAGAUUUCUUCGGAAUGAAGUUUUAGUGACUGAGUGGCGGACGGGUGAGUAACGCGUGGGUAACCUGCCUCACACAGGGGGAUAACAGUUGGAAACGGCUGCUAAUACCGCAUAAGCGCACAGUACCGCAUGGUACAGUGUGAAAAAACUCCGGUGGUGUGAGAUGGACCCGCGUCUGAUUAGCUAGUUGGCAGGGCAACGGCCUACCAAGGCGACGAUCAGUAGCCGACCUGAGAGGGUGACCGGCCACAUUGGGACUGAGACACGGCCCAAACUCCUACGGGAGGCAGCAGUGGGGAAUAUUGCACAAUGGGGGAAACCCUGAUGCAGCGACGCCGCGUGAGCGAAGAAGUAUUUCGGUAUGUAAAGCUCUAUCAGCAGGGAAGAAGAAAUGACGGUACCUGACUAAGAAGCACCGGCUAAAUACGUGCCAGCAGCCGCGGUAAUACGUAUGGUGCAAGCGUUAUCCGGAUUUACUGGGUGUAAAGGGAGCGCAGGCGGAAGGCUAAGUCUGAUGUGAAAGCCCGGGGCUCAACCCCGGUACUGCAUUGGAAACUGGUCAUCUAGAGUGUCGGAGGGGUAAGUGGAAUUCCUAGUGUAGCGGUGAAAUGCGUAGAUAUUAGGAGGAA
rnacentral:rRNA from 1 species